CGAGGCAUCCCCGAUCCAUCCAGCAUCUUCUCGCGCAGUCUUCUUCGACCCGCUGCCACAGUCCCGGCGCCCCAGGCCCUGCGCAGAUGAAGACCCUCCCCCGGACGGCUUUGCGGGCCCUGCCUCAGCCGGCGCCCCCUUCUCUCCUGCAGGACCCGGACCCGCGCUGCAGGGGCUGAGUGCCCCCUGGGUCGGCGUCUGAGUCUUGCCUCCCCGUAGGCUCAGUACCUGGCACGUGUCCAAGGCUCAGCAGCUGUACCACAACCACCCAACAGGAGAGAAGGAAAGGAGAGGUGCACCCCGGGGAUGUGGUGAGGCCAUCCCGUCAUGGGGAAUCAGAAAAGGACUGCGUCUUAGCCAGCCAGCUGGGGGAAGGUGGGGGUACCUCUUGUGUUUCCUUUUCUUGGAAUUAUUCUCCCUGGUGACCGGUAUAUAUCCAUUUGAGGCCCCUUGGCAUGAGAUAGAGCCCAGGUCACCAGGGGAGACUUAAAUAGACACCAGACCUCACCUCGAAGGCGACCUAAGGUGCUCCUGCCCCUUUGCCCUCCCCGUCCAGACCAGGCACUGCCUGUCAGGUGCUGCACGCUCCCAAACCUGUCCUGGAUUUUCCAUCCUCUUCAAGAUUCACCUUCCCAAACCUAUACCAUGUCAUCCGAGACGCACAAAAGCUGAUCUGAAAAGUCUUCUCUGCCUCAGAUGCAGAUGAAUUGUCAUCCCGUGGAGGGUAGUCAGUUUCCUUCCUGCUCACAAGAAGAUGGUGUGGCUCAUGGGAUGGUAACGACAGCCCCCAUUCAUGAAGUGGCUAGCUGUUGUACCAGAUAUGUAGAUAAGUUGCCUGGGCUUCUCGGGACAUGUGACCAGGUGGCAUCUGGGUUGCUCACCCAGGGCUUCUUGAUUGUUGCAGAGGAGGCAGCACCGGGCAGAGGGGCCCUUGAGAGAUGUCACCAUCCUGUUAAGAAAGGGCUGGACCACAGCGCUGCAGAGGUGAGCUCUGUUCAUUGGAGGUCUGGGGCUUGGCAUCCCGCAAGUGCCCACAGUUCCCCUGGUGUGAUGUUCUCUGGGAAGUAGGUAGAGGAGUGACGAGGGUGGCUUCGUCCUGGCCUUCUCUGGGGCCUUCAAGAACACACCUGGUUUCUAUUUAUGCCCUUGAUUCUGAGAGCUCUUCCUCAAAUGUUGGCAGCAGAACGUGUGAAUUGAAGCAGGGAAGGGAGUUUGGCAUAUCCACCUGUACGUGGGUCUCCGUCACUCCUCUGCCGCCUCCUAGCUUUGGGACCUUCUCUUACCUCUGGUUUCACCCUCUGGAAAGCAGGACUCAAAUGAGGCUAUUUGUCUUCAGAUCACAUGGCAUCUGUUUUUUACAACCUGAGACCUCUUUCACUUUUCCUUCGGAGGCCUCUCCUGUCUGGGCCACGGGGAAGGCUUUGUGCAGGACUGGAAGCAGUUGCUGGGUCCUUGGGCUCCACUGGGUUCACUACUCCCAGGCCUUUUCCAUGGGCCUCCUUUUCCAGCAAGCCCCCGUCUUUCCCUGCCCCUGCACUUGGACAUGAUCACCGGCUGCCCAUGGCCCGUUGGUAGGCAGUGCGGGCGGAGGGAGCGUGGGCGGGUUGUCCCGCGCUUGGAGAGUCUGCUUCCUUACCCUGCAGUUCCAGGAGCUUUCCCACCCUCCUGCUGCUCCCCUCAUACUCCUGGAGCCUCCAGGGCUUCAGGGGCUGUCCUGUGUGCGUUAGUGUCAUUGUUGGGGCUUUUAUUUCCUGCCCUGCUGUUGGGAACCGGACUACAUGUGCUGCGUGAGUUCCCCUGAAUGUUCAGUUGCUGCCACUCGGCCAUGGCAUGUUCCCAUGGGCCUGGCCUUGACACCCUUUUCUGCCCACCACUGGUGAAUGGCACGCUGAUUAGCGCUGGCCACCCUGCCGCAGGCCAUCCGCCGUCUCCCUCUUUAGAGUUAACUACUGUUCUUUUUAUGAGGAAACGGCGUGUCUAUUCAGGAAAUGAUCACUGCCAGCAUCUGCAGAGUGCUUACUGUCUGGCGGCUUCUGUGCUGAGCCCUUUUCUGCUGCCUGCCAUGCGCUGUAUGAGCAGGGGCAAGGCAGGUGCUCAUUCUCAGCUUCUUGUCCGAUGCAGAUGAGUCCACGGUGUGCAGAGGCCGUCGUGGAAGUUGUGGUGUCAGGAGCGCUGUAGACCGCAGUGUCCUUGAGUGUUCAUUCUGACUCUUCUCUGGGAGCAUUGAGAUUCCUUUUUGAGCCAAGUUUGUUGUGGAAAAAAACACUGCAGCUCAUCUCUGACUAAUUGGGGACGCUUUCAUGGAUGUCACCUUAAAGAAAGAUGAGGGGUGCUGCUUUGGAAGAAGCCUCGGGGGUCAGAACCACUCGCCCUCUCAAGGUAUUUAGGGGCUGACCGCGGACACUGGCGUAGCAGCGUGAAGCAGGAUGUUGUCGCAUGACCAUCGCCAAACCUUUCUCUUCUGUUGCCUCAGCACAGCGUGGAAGGACUCUGCCCUCUGUGUGAACAGGGCAGAGGGGAAGUUCUGGGGCUCCAGGGACUUGGGGUUCAGAGCUGGAGACCUUCUACUGGCUCCCAGCAGGUGCCUCAGAACACUGCUGACCAGGAAGACUGUCUCUUCCCAUCUGGACCAGGUCAUCCCGUGGCUUCUGUGUCUCCCAUUUGCUCCUAGUAUAACUUUUUAGAACCAGGAGUUCCUGUUGGAGUCUUGUGUGCCAUGCAUCUUAUCUUCUCACCCACUUAAAUAAAUCUCGAAACUGC
rnacentral:lncRNA from 1 species